GCCAACAUGAUAUAGUGGUUUGAGCAUUGGGCUAUAACUCUAGAGACCAGGGUUCGAUUCCCUGCUUGGCC